rnacentral:rRNA from 1 species
GGACGAACGCUGGCGGCGUGCCUAACACAUGCAAGUCGAGCGAGGAGAUUCCUCGGGAUGAUCCUAGCGGCGGACGGGUGAGUAACACGUGGGCAACCUGCCUCAUAGAGAGGAAUAGCCUUCCGAAAGGGAGAUUAAUACCUCAUAACAUUGCAGUUUCGCAUGGAACAGCAAUUAAAGGAGUAAUCCGCUAUGAGAUGGGCCCGCGGCGCAUUAGCUAGUUGGUGAGGUAACGGCUCACCAAGGCGACGAUGCGUAGCCGACCUGAGAGGGUGAUCGGCCACAUUGGGACUGAGACACGGCCCAGACUCCUACGGGAGGCAGCAGUGGGGAAUAUUGCACAAUGGGGGAAACCCUGAUGCAAGCAACGCCGCGUGAGUGAUGACGGCCUUCGGGUUGUAAAGCUCUGUCUUCAGGGACGAUAAUGACGGUACCUGAGGAGGAAGCCACGGCUAACUACGUGCCAGCAGCGGC